UUAGUCCAUGAUGUUUGGAUGCUCCAUUGCAUGCCACAUUGACAAAAACGAACAACAACAUCUCCAUAGUGAAAUCUUUGACUUGGGAAGUUUGUAGAUGAAGUUGAAGAUGGACUUCUUUGGCCUUCUAAAUUAGUUUUCAACAUUUU